UACGGAGGGAGCUAGCGUUGUUCGGAAUUACUGGGCGUAAAGCGCACGUAGGCGGCGACUCAAGUCAGGAGGUGAAAGCCCGGGGCUCAACCCCGGAACUGCCUUUGAAACUAGGUCGCUAGAAUCUUGGAGAGGUCAGUGGAAUUCCGAGUGUAGAGGUGAAAUUCGUAGAUAUUCGGAAGAACACCAGUGGCGAAGGCGACUGACUGGACAAGUAUUGACGCUGAGGUGCGAAAGCGUGGGGAGCAAACAGG
rnacentral:rRNA from 1 species